GUUACAACUCCUCUACCCUCGUCCAUGCCAAGUGUUUCCAUGUUCCUGCAGAGUCGGCUUUGGUUAGUGUUUGGAUCUCGACCCUGGCAGAGCCUGGAAAGUCAAAGGUCAACCCUGAGUAAUGGAAUCUGUAGCCUGUAGUGACUGCAGCAACGACCUGUUGACCUGCCCAUUGUCCUGUCAGCCACAGGUUCAUUAGCCUGACAGGUUGAGGUCAAACGUCCAUGUCUCUGAAAUUUCCUCCACCUGUGCCCUGCUCUCACCACAGAACACAAUGUCCUCUGUAGACAUCAUAGUCCACAGAGGUGCUUUAAAAGAGUAAUAAAAUCACCCAGAGGAUAUUUGAGCCGACAGUUUCAGUUUCUGUUUAAGAUGAAUCCAGGUUGAAGGUGCAGAGUAAAGAAAUCUGUAAGGGCGCAGUGCGUGGGAUAGCGGUAGAGUGCACGACCCAUAUAUGGAAGCUUCCACCCUGCUUGUUUCUAAAAAAUAAACCAAAUUUUAUCCCAAGGUUCUUCAAAAAAUUAUCAUUGGGAGCUUUAAAACUAUGGCUUUCAUCAAUUAUUAUACCAAGAUAUUUGUAGGAGGACACAAGAUCAAGGCUACAUUCACACUGCAGGCAAAUGUGCCCCAAAUCCAACUUUUUUGCCCAUACGUGACCCAUAUUCGACUUUUUCAUGCCAGUCAGAAUGGCCCAAUUCUGAUUUUUUCACAUCUCUUCAAAUCCGAAUUGUGCCACUUUCAUAAGUGGUACAACAUCCUGCCUUCAGAACGAUCAUGUUGGACUUUUAGUCUCAGAUCAUGUUUUCCUCGCCAAGGCCCAAAGUAGGUUUCUUUGGUACAACAGACUGGCUAGUUCAGAAGAAAAUCAAGGACUAUCUCAUCCCUUAGCCCUGAACUGACAAAUAGGAGCAUGCUCAUCAACAAAAUAACUAAAACUGUCAUUACAACAUUUCCAUGCCAGAUCAACACCAUCUAUUAAUAAAAUAUGGUCCCAAUUAAAAGGAAGAACUCAUGAAUAAAAGCUUGCUCGCUGAAAUGCUUCGGGUGGCUUUUCUGCACAAUUUGGGGCUUUGAGCAAAGGAAUGUUUGUAUCCCUGAUAGCACCAACAACACAAUGAUCACUAAGAUAAUUUGCAAAUACUCCCAAAGCAGAGGCAAAUUUGUAAUUAGAAGAUCAAUCUGAGUUAAAUUAGUUGGGACAUUUAUAGGAACAUAUAGAGUAGGACAUUCAAUUAAUAUGGGUGAGGUUAAAAGAUUAACAAUGAGCUUAAUUUCUUUAAAUUGUAGUUGUGAUAAGUGUUGUAGUAGAGACGAUAAUGUUUCCUUGCUGGAUAAGGGGGGCUCUGUAGCACCCAACUACUGUUAAGAUCUGACCACCAGAAAGAUCAACAUUUAAAGCCAGGAUUGCUUCAUUAGCUGUAGUUGUCCAGUCAUCUGAAGGCACCUAGUGGCCACACAGAGCCUGUCUAUACUCCUCCAUAAAAGCCACACAACUUUCUUCCAUUUUUAGGUUUCACCACUUUGUCCUCCGCUCUGCCACUGUUCUCUUCACCUUCCUCACUAUCAGAUUCAUUUUAAACACCACCACCUUACACAACAUCUCCUACCCCACUCUUAUAAGUCACCUGGAGUUCCUGCCUCUUCUGAAAGAAAAUAUUCACUACAGCCAUUUCCAUCCUCUUUGCAAAGUCUACAACCAUCUGUCUGUCUGCAUUCCUGUUCUGGAUUUUAAACUUGCCCAUCACCUCUGUUCCCUGCUUCAACAUGUCCAUUGAGAUCUGCACCGAUCACCACUCUCUCACCUCUGGCCAUAGUCUACAUCACUUCAUCUAACCUGCUCUAGAAUUUCUCCUUCUCUAACUCACAUCCUACCUGUGGGGCAAAAGCAAUAACAUCAAUGAACAUCACAUCUUCAGUUUCUAGCUUCAGACUCAUCACCCUACCUGACACUUAUUCACCUCCAGAACAUUCCUGACAAACUCCUCCUUCAAGAUAACUCCUACACCAUUUGUCUUCCCAUCCACACCAUGGUAGAACAGCUUGCACGCUGCUCCUAAGCUUCUAGCUUUGCUGCCUUUCCACCUGGUGUCCUGAACACACAGAAUGUCCAAUGUCCUCCUGCAUCAUGUCAGCCAACUCUCUAUCCUUUCCUGUCAUAGUUCCAACAAUUGAAGUCCCUGCUCUCAGUCCUAGAUUCGUUGUUAACCUGGGUCUCAAUCGAUCUGGUAUGGAGAAGAUGUUCUUGACUUGCAUGGUAGAUUUGGCAAAAGUUUUACCCUGGAUGCUCUCUACAUUAAUCUAGGCUUGGGACCGGCACAAAUAGGACACUGUCCCACCUUUGAGGUUGCGUUAAAAACAUGGUUGCAGGCCACAAGGGCCAAUUCUAAUCUUGCCAAUGGGAGCUCUAACUUUUAUACCACAGUCUCUCCUUUUAUACAAUACUGAGAAGUGGAAACUGAUGGUGGAGGCCUACAAACACCUUAUGAUUAAGAUUGUAAGGAAACAUGCAGAGGUGAUACAUGUGGUGCUAUCAUUGUCAUAGUAUGGUCAAAAAUCAGCAGGGAGCUGAUGAGACGUGCCUUAGUUUAAGAAUGCAGAAGGCUUAUAUUUGCCUUCCUGAUGAAAGUGGUUUGUGAAUGGUGUUGGAGAUCCUGGAGAUCAUAAGGUGUUCUUAUUCCAGCGUAAAGGUUUGGAGGGGCCACAAAUCUAGUGGAUUUAGUUGCAUCUUUAAUGUAUUUUUUAUUGAGGCAAGCAGACUCCAGUGGCUUCAGCUGCACAUUUAUUACACCAACCUAAGACCAGUUCUUAUCUUAAUGUGAGCAAGAGCAAGAUGGAGCAUUUUUGACAUUAUUCAGACAGCACCAAGGCUUACAUAAACAAACACAGAUAUCAUAGAGAACAAAGACCUGUUAUUGAUGUAAUUUUAUAUUAAGCAGGUAAACAGGUUUUUUUAUGGAGGAAGGAUGUAAAGACCACGCUAAGGACAUGCUGUAGUCAUUUUCUCCAAAAAAAAAACAAACAGUCAGUGUUUUAUCUUAAUUACUUAGAGUUUCCUGGUAAUGUUUGAUUGUAUGAGGCAGACAUUUAUUACCUGAGCAAGCAUAUGUUUUCCAUGUUAGCUGAUUUUCCUGCUUACAUCCUUCUUUUCAUGCAUCUCGAUGAAAAGCAUCUGUCCCGUCAGAAUUUGUUUUGCCCUUUGUGUCCUUGCCAAAUGGCUCUUCUAUCUCUGACAGGGAGACACCCCUCCCUGUUGUUACGCAUUUUAGGAUGAGCAAGGCAGUGAGUUGCCUUUGCUCUGUGUAUGAAUAGACCGAUGUGUCUGCCUAGCUGGAAUGCUGAGAAUUGUUUGCAUUUCGGGCACGUGAAAGCUUAUCACUCAGUCUUUUUAUCUGCACAGCUUAUCCUUAACCCUGAAUGAGUCCGGGCAUCCCCCAAAGUCUCCAUCCCCCUCUGAUCUUGAUCUUGCUGUCAUGUCUCCCCCCCGCCCUCAGCAGGGUGGACUUGUGCAGUGAUACUUGCAUUGAUGUGCGAGGGGCAGAGCUGCUGCCCUUUAAUUUGAGUUUUUGUCU